ensembl:miRNA
UGGUGAUUUUGAGCAUGGCUAUCAACCACUCAACCUGGAAAAAGCUGAGUGAUUGAUAGCUAUGUUCAAAAUCACCA